rnacentral:lncRNA from 1 species
GAACAUGGUGGAGGUCAGGUCAGAUGACAGAAGACAAUACAUCACAGUUACUUGGUCACUGAGAAGUGAUGGGGGGCUGGUCCACUAGGGUAGAGGGAGCUCAGUCUGGGCCACCACAGCUCACCACCUCUUUUUCUCCCUAUGCAGUUCUGAAACAGCUGGAAGAACUGCUGAGUGACAUGAAAGCUGAUGUGACUCGACUCCCAGCUACCAUUGCCCGAAUUCCCCCAGUUGCUGUGAGGUUACAGAUGUCAGAGCGUAACAUUCUCAGCCGCCUGGCAAACCGGGCACCCGAACCUACCCCACAGCAGGUAGCCCAGCAGCAGUGAAGAUGCAGACUGAUACCACCUCCACCGCUGAGCAGUGACCUUCCUCACUUUCUCUUGUCCCAGCUUCUCCCCUGGGGGCCUGAGAGACCCUCACCUUCCUUCUGCCCAUCUUCCAUGUUGUAAAGGAACAGCCCCAGUGCACUGGGGGAGGGGAGGGAGUGAGGGGCAGUGGUGCCCUUCCUGCAGAAGAGACAUGCAGCAGUAGCGCUGGCGCCAUCUGCAGGAGCUGGCGGGCUGGCCUUCUGGACCCUGGCUUCUCCCCACUGUAACGCCUGUUACACACAAACUGUUGUGGGUUCCUGCCAGGCUUGAAGAAAAUGAUCUGAAUUUU